rnacentral:rRNA from 1 species
UACGGGGGGAGCAAACGUUGUUCGGAAUCACUGGGCGUAAAGGGAGCGUAGGCGGCCAUGUAAGUGAGGUGUUAAAUCCCCCGGCUCAACCGGGGACCUGCACCUCAUACUGCACGGCUUGAGUACAUCAGAGGAGACUGGAAUUCCCGGUGUAGCGGUGAAAUGCGUAGAUAUCUGGAGGAAUACCGGUGGCGAAGGCGGCAUCCUGGACCGGGAUUGACACUGAGGAGCGAAAGCUAGGGGAGCAAACGGG